rnacentral:rRNA from 1 species
CAUUACCGAAUUGUUAACAAGAGUUGUUGCUGGUCCCUGUAUGGGGGCAUGUGCACGCUCUGUUUACACAUCCACUCACACCUGUGCACCCUCUGUAGUUCUAUGGCCUGUGGGGCUCCGUCCCCCUGCUGUGGUUCUAUGUAUUUACACACACACUGUAACAAAGUCUUAUGGAAUGUAUGUCGCGUUUAACGCAAUGAAAUACAACUUUCAGCAACGGAUCUCUUGGCUCUCGCAUCGAUGAAGAACGCAGCGAAAUGCGAUAAGUAAUGUGAAUUGCAGAAUUCAGUGAAUCAUCGAACCUUUGAACGCACCUUGCGCCCUUUGGCUAUUCCGAAGGGCAUGCCUGUUUGAGUAUCAUGAACACCUCAACUCUCAUGGCUUGCCAUGAUGAGCUUGGACUAUGGGGGUUUUGCUGGCCUGCAAGUCAGCUCCUCUCAAAUGAAUUAGCUUGCCGGUGUUUGGUGGCAUCACGGGUGUGAUAACUAUCUACGCUUGUGGUUUUCCGCCAGGUAACCUUCAGCAAUGGAGGUUCACUGGAGCUCAUAAUGUCUCUCCUCGGUGAGGACAGAUUUCGACCAUUUG